rnacentral:rRNA from 1 species
UACAUAGGGUGCUAGCGUUGUUCGGAAUUACUGGGCGUAAAGAGUGAGUAGGUGGCGAUUUAAGUCCAAUGUGAAAUCCUCCGGCUUAACCGGAGAACUGCAUUGGAAACUGGAUUGCUAGAGUUUGGGAGAGGAAGGUGGAAUUCCUGGUGUAGAGGUGAAAUUCGUAGAUAUCAGGAGGAAUACCAGAUGCGAAGGCGACCUUCUGGCCCGAUACUGACACUCAAUCACGAAAGCGUGGGGAGCAAACAGG